CGAGUAUGGACCCUGAUAUGGUCUGGCUCUGUGUCCUCACCCAGAUCUCAUCUUGAGUUGUAACUGAAUUGUAAUCCUCAUGUGUUGGUUGGCAGAGGGACCUCGUGGAGGUGAUGAGAUCAUGGGGGCGGUUCCCCCAUGCUGUUCUCAAGACAGUGAAUGAGUCUCAUGUGAUCUGAUGGUCUCAUAAGGGCUUUUCCCCCUUUUGCUCUGUGCUCAUUCUUUCUCCUGUCACCCUGUGAGGAGGUGCCUUCCGCCAUGAUUGUAAGUUUCCUGGGGCUUUCCCAACCAGGCGGAACGGUGAGUCAACCAAACCUCUUUUCUUUAUACAUUACCCAGUUGAGUAUUUCUUCAUAGCAGUGUGAGAGAGGCCUCAUAAAGACCCACUUCGUAGAUGCACCGAGACUCAGACCCUGAGGUGGGGCUGGGUGGCCGCAGGCUGCUCAGGGGUCUCAACCAGCCCACUCGCCUGCCUGGAGGGUUUGAAGUAUUCUCUAGGCUCAGGGGGAGAGCUCCUUCUGGCUAGUCUUAGAUCACGGGAGCUGAUAGAACGCCAGAAUGAUCCAGCCCAGCCCCCUCAUAUAGCAGAUGGGAAACAGUUUCUGGUUGCCUUCGAAACCUCCUGCCUGUGCCUUUAGAGCAGACCUCUUCAUCUUCCUGAGGUGCGUGUGGGGACCCCAGAGCACAGGGUGAGCUCAGGCCCCUGCUGUGCCCCGGGGACGCUCAGCCACAGAGCACACUGGCUGCAGCUCCGCAUGGGCCCUGCCAGGCUGCACGAGAACCUCUUGACGCAGCGAUUCCCAGGCCAAACCCAGCCACGUUUGUGUUGCGGCUCCACACAGACGGGCCACGACCCUUGUUGUCAGCAAACUCUCUGAGGGUAAGGAGCUGCCACCCGAGGUUCACCUCCAUAGCUGUGCUUCUCCUUCUGCCACACCCAGGAGAGUGGAUUUGCUGUGAGCAGGGGCUGGCCGCUCAUGCUGUUAGGCAGAACAGCUGUGGACUGGUCCCUGUGUCCCCGCCACAUGCCCUGGACAUGAGGUUUGGCUCAUCUCAAGGGUGGACCUACGUCACAGGGCCCGGCUGGCCGACAUGAGGCUGAGUGCCAGCUCCUACUUGCCCCUCCACGUUGACCUGCCCAGUGGGGCCCCUGGGCAGGGAGACCCCGGCCCCAGGCUGACUCUGACACUCCCCGCAAUGUUGGAGCCGCUGGGCGGGCAGACCCCGUCCCCAGGCUGACUCUGACAGCUCCCUGCAAUGUGCCCGUGUCAUGCGGAUUUGGCCUCAGGUAGGUCUCGUCAGGGACACUCUAUCUUCAAAAAAUGCAGCCCACACAGUGGCUGAUUCCAAGGGUCUCAGAGACUCUCCAGAUAGUGCUGAAUGAGGGGGCCAGGGCCCCAGGGUGGCCCAGGGUCCUGUGGGGAGACUCCCUGACCCCAAGAGACUCCCAGUGUGUGGCGUUGUCUGCCCAGCCAGCCUCCCCUACUGCCCAGGUAUAGAGCUGGGCUCCAGCCCGGCCAGUAGGUGCGCUCUAGGGCCCCAGAGGCCACUGGGCCUUGUGCCUGCCCGGGCUCAGACCCUGUGGUUCAGCCAGGAGGAGCAGCCACCUGGGAGCCUUGGGCCCAGAAAUAGGUGGGACAGGCCAGGAUGGCAGGUGGACUUGAAAUUCCACGGCAAGCACGACCGGAAGGAAUACAUCGGGGGCGAUUACACGGUCCUUCUUCCUCCUACCCCAUCAAUACAUUUUUUUUUUCUUUUAAAAAAAGAAAUGUAGUUUCUCUGAAAAUUUAUCCAUGCUGAUUUUUAAAAGUUGGCAGAGGCGUCGUUCUGGCUGUGGAUCGGGGCUUCUGGAACAAGCAGGCCCAGGAGUCUCUGAGGCUUCCCCGGCAGAUUCCCU
rnacentral:lncRNA from 10 species